GUGAAGCUGAGAGGUUUAACUGGUGUUUUCAGGCCCAUCGCAGGCUUUUAUUUUGAAAUUGUGCUGUGCUUUUAUUUUGAAAGGGAAAGACAGGAAGAUCUCACCUGGUCAACAUUUGGAUUGGAGUUACUCUAAAGCAGGGGUGUCAAACUCAGUUCCUCGAGGUCCACUAUCCUCUAUGUUCUAGAUGUUUCCUUCUUACAACACACCUGAUUCAAAUAAUCAGCUCAUCAUCAAGCUCAGCAGAAGCCUGAUAACGAGCCUGAUCAUUUGAAUCAGGUGUGUUGGAACUGAGUUUGACACCCCUGCUGUAAAGGCUGUGUGAAGCUGAGAGUUUGAACUGAUUUUCAGGCUGAAAUGCAGCUCCUGUGGAGGUAUUGGGUGUGAAGGUGGGUGUGGCACACCAAUGAGUCUGUGUGUGUGCGUGCGAACAUGCCUGCGCGUGUGUAAGAG